AGAAACUGCAACUGGUCAAAACGAUGUGUUUUGGGCAGCGAGAGCUGCAGCAGUGUCUUCUUCCAUUGCCCACCUUGCUGCUGUCCUGGCUAGUCCAUCGUCCAUGGUCUUGGUGUGAGGGUUACCUCUUCUUUGGUUCUGUGGUAAACAAGGAAAUUCAUGAGAUAGAGAUAUACCUAUCGCUUCGUCUUCCUCCGUCGCUUUAGGGUUUUGCAGAGUACUUGCUUGCCUUCCUUCCUCCGUACCUGCAAUUUUACUUCACUGGCUGGUCAUGAAUAAUGGAUCCAAGAGCGGGUUUUCAACCGAUAUACAUUGCCAGCUUAGAGUAUCGUCAGACUUUGUUCAAGCUGCAUUCCCUCUUCAGAUGAUUAAAUAGGCAUACUCUUUUUGCAUUGGAUGAUGCAUUUAAGAUUUCAUUUCCUACUUUCCAAAGAAAUUCAUCCCAAGAUUCUGAUGCAUUUGAAGCUGAAAAUUUGAAGCGAUUGGCUAGCUCCAAGAGCCAUGGAUGUGGUGAUUUGUUCAUUGAUGCUUUUUUGACACUUGCUCGAGUGCUUUUGUUUGCUUUUCGUGGCCUGAGUGAUGACAACCCUAGAACGCUCCAGGUGAAGAGAGAAAGCACAUCCCCUCUCCACAGCCAGCGUGAAGUUCUUAUGGCACAUUUUUCAGCUAGAUAUCUUGUGCAGAGUCCUAACAUGGUUAGCAUCUUCUGUCACUAGUCACAGUGCUGCAAGCUCAUUUUGAACUGAUGUGCUGUUGCCUAUGCAACUUGCAACCAUUGAUUUGCUCGGCAGGUUUUGCUGUAGAUGCUUUUGGCGUUGAGGAUAGAGAAGUUUGAAGUGCAAGAUCACAUGUCCUUCCGUAUGUGGCUCGUGGAAUCAAAGAUUCGAAGAUUCCAAUUCUCCAAGCAGAUGUUCUUUUUUUUUCAUUCAUUAUAGGAUGCCAUCUUCUAAAUCUGCUUCUUGUUAUUUAUUUUUUAUAGUGCAAGCAUUAAUUGUGUAUUUAAUUGACGUUAUGUUGUUAUAUGCCAACCUUCAUCACUUGUAUGUUAGUCACAACAUUUCUAGGUAGAAACUAUGAAUGCUGGAUUUUUUUUUUUUUUAAACAAUAAUAAAAGAAGAUACCAGGAUCUUUUGUA